rnacentral:sRNA from 2 species
GUUUGCACUUGUCGGGGAAGGGUGAGAACCUUCGAUUAAGGUUCGACUCGAGCGAAAGAACGUUGCCAACGGUAACGGCCCGUAGGGUGAGGAGUGAAGCGACGAAU